UAAGCAGACUCUGGAUUUCCCUCAGCAGUAAGGCAGGACUUGUUUGCCUCUAUUCAUUCCGUCUGCUUUUUUCUAACGUUUUUGUCGCUGUAAUAGUUAUUUAUAAUACCAGACAAACUGCAUUUCAGACUCAUUGAGACUAGAGGAAGGACAAGCCUUGGAUUUUUUAAGAAGAGUGAAGUCACAAGUCCAAUUUGCUUCAAUUAGGAGACAAGCCAACAGUAAAAAUGGGGGCAUCCACAAGCAAUCCUUUAUUCGAGAAUACACAUGACCGUGCUGUUGCUAUUAAGAUUAGCAAUUGCAGUUCGAAAUAUGAUUUAAGUAA